UGGUAAAUUUAACACAUAGCCAAUAGUUAUGAACAAUGGUCUCUCUAAUCACUUUCAGCUUGCUUCAAACAGCUUGUCUCUUGCUUAAAUUUAACACUGUCUGUUAUUCUUAGCUAAUUGAAUUUAUGUAGACCAAGGAAGUUGUUUUAGGACCGAGGAAAUUGUUUUAUUAACUAAUAAGUGUUAUAAUACUGUUCUGAUUAACUAACAUUUAGAAGGAUUAGGUAAAUCUUUCUUCAGUAUAAAAUACAGCUGACAAGCUGACUCAGCUAGAUACUGUUGAAACAGGAAGCCUGUAGCUUGAAAAAGAGGAAGUCACAGCAUUGUGUAUCUCAGAAUAGACUGCUUAAAAGACAAGACUGAUGAUUUAUGAGAAUAUGUCUGAAUUUAUGCCGCACUAAGGAAAGGUCAUGUCUGGAGCAAUGGUCUUGAUGAUAAGGAUUUUGUUAUCUAAAAUAACCUGCACUCAAAAUGAAAGCAGAAGCAAUGUAGACAUGUUUAUCUAAAAUGUCAGUUGAAGUGCCUCGCUGUUAAAUGAGAAAACAGAUGUAUUUUAUAUGAAAUGAGCUCAGCUUACCCGGAUACCAACACCAUGUGAUGUGUCUAUAUGCUGAAUGUAUAAAAUGAGGAACUGUGAAUGAAUCGAGAGCUCAGUUCUUUGUGGUGAUAGCCACACUGGGCUCUGCCGGCAAUAAACAUCAUUCCUUCCUGAAGAUUCUGUUUGGUCUCAAUUCUUGGGAACACGAAACCCUGCUACAUUUUGGGGGCUCGUUCUUCCGGGAUUGAGGGGACCAUUGGGGUGCCCCCUUGACCCCCAGUCCGUGGCCGCUGGUUCUAGACUGGUAGUGGACCUGUGGGCGCCCCCUGAGUUUUUCAGGAGCAGGCCCUGCCUUCCUCGGGUGUCAGCGGUGCGCCACUGGGGCGUCAACGACCCGGUGACGGAAUCAGGAACGAGUGAUCCAGGAAAGUCCCGGGACAAUUUCAGAGAUCUGUCCAGACGAUGCCCUCCGUCUCUGACUGAAGAAGCUACCCUCUGGAUCUCAGCCUACCGGAAAAGGCUGAGAUUCACAGGCAACAGUUCCGGGGCCUGGUACCUGAGCACUCCAGAAGGCUGUUCAGGUUCUGAAGAAGCUCUGGUCUAGCCACUCCUGGGCUGGCUAGUCUACCCACAGCUGAAGCUUUGAUCAUCGGUGGACUACAGUAACAGUUAAUGUUUUUUCGUGUUUUCUCCUAUACUUUUACUGGUUGUGCACUUUUCCUGUGUUUUGUUUUCCUUUUCUAUUGCUUCUAUAAGUUUAGGAUAGGUAUCCAAGAAAUAGUUUGUCCUGACUGUGGCUGUCAGCAUUAUAAUAAUACACCUUGUCCUCGUUGUUUCCUGUCUACUCCUCCUGCUCUCCCACUCCAGGAGAUGCCACCACAAGAGAGGCAUCCUAACAUUAUAUCCAGACUUAAUUUCUGAUCAAUGUCAUCAUAAGUAUCUUGCUGGUGUGUGUUAUCUUAAGGGAAAGCUGGUAGAAAAGGCUUUGCUCUUAGUGGGGGUGUGCUCUAACUGAAAUUAUAUUUCUUCCUUGUUAUAUUUCAUGCAUUAUUUGCUUAAUACAGUCUACUGUUUCAAAAAUUGACAAUGUUAGCAACUCCAGUGUCGCCUCUGCCCAGUAAGGGAGCCCCACCUGCGGCCCAAUUACUGACACUGUCCCCAGAAAGGGUGCGCUUACUUAAAAUGCGCAGCUUAGAGUCCUCAGGACCUGAUGAGGAGGAGGGGGCGUAUUGACCCUAGAGGGAAGAUAUACUGUUAUUGUUCGGCCUCUUCUGCUUCGCUAUCAAGGCCGAAAAGGGGGGAAAUGUAGCCGAGGAAAUUGGUAAAUUUAACACAUAGCCAAUAGUUAUGAACAAUGGUCUCUCUAAUCACUUUCAGCUUGCUUCAAACAGCUUGUCUCUUGCUUAAAUUUAACACUGUCUGUUAUUCUUAGCUAAUUGAAUUUAUGUAGACCAAGGAAGUUGUUUUAGGACCGAGGAAAUUGUUUUAUUAACUAAUAAGUGUUAUAAUACUGUUCUGAUUAACUAACAUUUAGAAGGAUUAGGUAAAUCUUUCUUCAGUAUAAAAUACAGCUGACAAGCUGACUCAGCUAGAUACUGUUGAAACAGGAAGCCUGUAGCUUGAAAAAGAGGAAGUCACAGCAUUGUGUAUCUCAGAAUAGACUGCUUAAAAGACAAGACUGAUGAUUUAUGAGAAUAUGUCUGAAUUUAUGCCGCACUAAGGAAAGGUCAUGUCUGGAGCAAUGGUCUUGAUGAUAAGGAUUUUGUUAUCUAAAAUAACCUGCACUCAAAAUGAAAGCAGAAGCAAUGUAGACAUGUUUAUCUAAAAUGUCAGUUGAAGUGCCUCGCUGUUAAAUGAGAAAACAGAUGUAUUUUAUAUGAAAUGAGCUCAGCUUACCCGGAUACCAACACCAUGUGAUGUGUCUAUAUGCUGAAUGUAUAAAAUGAGGAACUGUGAAUGAAUCGAGAGCUCAGUUCUUUGUGGUGAUAGCCACACUGGGCUCUGCCGGCAAUAAACAUCAUUCCUUCCUGAA